ensembl:snRNA U6 U6 spliceosomal RNA
AUGCUUGCUUCAGCAGCACAUACACUACAAUUGGAACAAUAUAGAGAAGAUUAGCAUGGCCCUGCACAAGGAUGACAUGCACAUACAUGAAGUGUUCCAUAUAAAA